AUUGCCUCAGUACGGCGAGUGAAGCGGCAAGAGCUCAAAUUUGAAAUCUUNUNCUCCCCUGGGGUUGGGGGGUCCGAGUUGUAAUUUGGAGAGGAUGCUUCGGGCCGGGUGCCCAUCUAAGUACCCUGGAAUGGGUCGUCAGAGAGGGUGAGAAUCCCGUCUGGGAUGGGUGACCGGGUCUCUGUGAAGCUCCUUCGACGAGUCGAGUUGUUUGGGAAUGCAGCUCUAAGUGGGUGGUAAAUUUCAUCUAAAGCUAAAUACCGGCCGGAGACCGAUAGCGCACAAGUAGAGUGAUCGAAAGAUGAAAAGCACUUUGAAAAGAGAGUUAAAGAGCAUGUGAAAUUGUUGAAAGGGAAGCGCUUGCGACCAGACUCCCGUCGGGGGGGUUCAACCGGGCAUCCGUGCCCGGUGCACUCCCCCCCACGGGGGCCAGCGUCGGUUGGGUGCGUCGCUGAAAGGCCCCCGGAAUGUACCGCCCCUCCGGGGGCGUCUUAUAGCCGGGGGUGCCAUGCGACGCGCCCGACCGAGGAACGCGCGCGCGCCAAGCGGCUCGGACGCUGGCAU
rnacentral:rRNA from 1 species